rnacentral:rRNA from 1 species
GACGAACGCUGGCGGCGUGCCUAAUACAUGCAAGUAGAACGCUGAAGGAGGAGCUUGCUUCUCUGGAUGAGUUGCGAACGGGUGAGUAACGCGUAGGUAACCUGCCUGGUAGCGGGGGAUAACUAUUGGAAACGAUAGCUAAUACCGCAUAAUAGCAGUUAUUGCAUGAUAACUGUUUGAAAGGUGCAAUUGCACCACUACCAGAUGGACCUGCGUUGUAUUAGCUAGUUGGUGGGGUAACGGCUCACCAAGGCGACGAUACAUAGCCGACCUGAGAGGGUGAUCGGCCACACUGGGACUGAGACACGGCCCAGACUCCUACGGGAGGCAGCAGUAGGGAAUCUUCGGCAAUGGACGGAAGUCUGACCGAGCAACGCCGCGUGAGUGAAGAAGGUUUUCGGAUCGUAAGGCUCUGUUGUAAGAGAAGAACGAGUGUGAGAGUGGAAAGUUCACACUGUGACGGUAUCUUACCAGAAAGGGACGGCUAACUACGUG